rnacentral:sRNA from 1 species
CAUACAUAAAUGUACAUGCAUGAAUGCAUGCAUGCAUGAAUAUGCAAGCAUAAAUAAACAUGCAUGCAUGAAUAUGGAUGCAUGCAUGAAAAUGCAUGCAUGAAUAUAUAUGCAUGCAUGAAUAUGCAUGCAUGCAUGAAUAUGCAUGAAAUAGUAUGGGGUGUGUG